UCCCCAAUGCCUUUAAAUGUCUAACCUUGGGCCUAGGUCUUGCAAGUUCUCUUAAUCACUUGUAGUUUUUCUCCACCUCAAAACUUCAAGUAAAGGCGUUUAGGUCCCUCCGUCUUAAAGGAGUCCAAAGAGUUUGCAUCACAGAUUCCCACUCGUCUUUCCUGCACUUUCUAGGUAUUCCUUAUUAGAUAUCCCAAGUACCGAUAAUUCUCUCUUCCAAGAAGUUAGAGGAAUUUGAGGAGUCCUUAAACCUUAUCAGGUCCUACUCCUUCCACAUUGAUGUUGAUACAUCGACCUUCUAAAGCCUCCAUAGCACUUACUUCUACUAACUCU
rnacentral:lncRNA from 1 species